UACGUAGGGGCAAGCGUUGUCCGGAAUUAUUGGGCGUAAAGCGCGCGCAGGCGGUCUCUUAAGUCUGAUGUGAAAUCUUGCGGCUCAACCGCAAGCGGUCAUUGGAAACUGGGAGACUUGAGUACAGAAGAGGAGAGUGGAAAUUCCAUGUGUAGCGGUGAAAAUGCGUAGAUAUAUGGAGGAACACCAGUGGCGAAAGGCGACUCUCUGGUCUGUAAACUGGAACGCUGAGGCGCGAAAAGCGUGGGGAGCAAACAGG
rnacentral:rRNA from 1 species